rnacentral:lncRNA from 1 species
GGAAUCAAACCUCCUUUGUCGUGAUUACAUCCUAGUGCCUUCCAGAGUGGUUAACACCACCACAACCGGAAAACAACUGACACAUACGUGGUAGUUACUGAAUACUAAGCACUGUUCUAAGAACUUUCCAUAUAGUAACUCAUUAAAAUCCCAACAACCCUUUUAGGUAGGUGUUGUUAUUAUGCCCAUUCUAUAGCUGAGAAACCCAAAACCCAGAGCCUUCCCUUUUAGCCAUCACCCUAUACUGCCCUGGCACAGCAAAUAUUCGUUGACUAGUUUAGCAUCAUCAGAAAAUGAGUUAUACUACAUAACUGAAUUUCCAGGUAACUGAAAUAUAGUUCCAGAACUUAAAAUGCAUAAUAGUGCCUUUUGGCAAAAAUCUUUUUAGCAAGUCAUACUCCUCUUCCUCCUUAAACAUUUUUACCUUCUCUUAAUUAUCUCAGAUUGUUUCUGUGAGCACCAGCUAUUGUAUUAUUACCAUCUGCCCAUAAGGGUAAGAGAUGGGGAGCAAUUGAGAUAUGAGACAAGACUGGAUAAUCAGUAGACAGAAGACUAAAAAUAAAAAGGUUUCUGUUAUCACUGUGUACAGAUGACUAUAUAGAAGUCCCCAUAUUUGGAGAUAAGCACUUUGCUUCUCUGUUGAAUCAGACAUGUAAGUACAAUGGGGGCUGGUGGGAGAAGGGCUUGAUUAGAAGAAAAAAAAAAUAU